rnacentral:lncRNA from 1 species
AGCCUACCUUCACAGACUUGCCAAAAGCUACAAACUGUCCUCCCCAACCAUACAUCCCUAAAAUGCAUCACCAAUCACCAUAAUCAUGUCAACAUGGCACCGUUUGAUAGAAAUCAUAGGUACCAUUUGAUUGUCUUAGUCCAGAAAACCACCAACCAAUAGGCCCAGAAAUUUCAAAAUUGAGUUGACCCAAUGAGGGCAAUGCAGCAAAGUACCCAUGUCUUGAUUAACCUGUAUGGACACCAUCUAAACAAGUCUAUGCUGGCGCAAGCCCUUCCCAAAGUGAGGCUGCAUCAAGCGCACGUACAAACCAUUUUUAGCCAUUAACGAAUCAUGCGUACCUUCCUCAACUAUUCUCCCUCCAUUCAGUACAACAAUGUUGUCGACAUGCCUCAUCAUGGCAGCUCGGUGAGCAAUCAAGAUAGUUGUUUUAUUUCCCAUGAUCAGAGUGUCAAGAGCCUCCUGCACCACUCGGCUAGACUCAGAUUCAAUGGCUGAGCUUGCUUCAUCCAAUAACAAUAUUGGAGCAUUCUUUAAUACGACCCGAGCAAUUGCAAUUCUUUGUUUUUGCCCUGGGGUCAGAUCUACACCUCUCAUUCCAACAUGGGUGUCAUAACCAUGUGGCAAGCUACUAAUGAAAUGAUGUGCAUUGGCUAUUCUUGCUGCCUCUUUCACCUCAGCUUCACUC